GACGAACGCUGGCGGCGUGCUUAACACAUGCAAGUCGAACGGAAAGGCCCUGCUUUUGUGGGGUGCUCGAGUGGCGAACGGGUGAGUAACACGUGAGUAACCUGCCCUUGACUUUGUGAUAACUUCAGGAAACUGGGGCUAAUACCGGAUAGGAGCUCCUGCUGCAUGGUGGGGGUUGGAAAGUUUCGGCGGUUGGGGAUGGACUCGCGGCUUAUCAGCUUGUUGGUGGGGUAGUGGCUUACCAAGGCUUUGAAGGGUAGCCGGCCUGAGAGGGUGACCGGCGACAUUGGGACUACGAGACGGCCCAGACUCCUACGGGAGGCAGCAGUGGAGAAUAUUGCACAAUGGGCGGAAGCCUGAUGCAGCAACGCCGCGUUCGGGAUGACGGCCUUCGGGUUGUAAACCGCUGUCGCCUGUGACGAAGCGUGAGUGACGGUAAUGGGUAAAGAAGCACCGGCUAACUACGUG
rnacentral:rRNA from 1 species